rnacentral:rRNA from 1 species
UACGUAGGUGGCAAGCGUUGUCCGGAUUUACUGGGCGUAAAGAGCGCGCAGGCGGUCGUGCAAGUCGCGUGUGAAAGCCCCCGGCUCAGCUGGGGAGGGUCACGCGAUACUGCUCGACUCGAAGGCAGGAGAGGGAAGUGGAAUUCCCGGUGUAGUGGUGAAAUGCGUAGAUAUCGGGAGGAACACCAGUGGCGAAGGCGACUUCCUGGCCUGUUCUUGACGCUGAGGCGCGAAAGCUAGGGUAGCAAACGGG